CUGGCGGCGUGCCUAAUACAUGCAAGUCAACGGCUUUCUAUGGAAGCUUGCUUCCACUGAGAAGAUAGUGGCGAACGGGUGAGUAACACGUGGGUAACCUGCCCAUAAGAGGGGGAUAACAUCCGGAAACGGGUGCUAAUACCGCAUAGUUUCUUGAUCGCAUGAUCGGGAAAGGAAAGACGGCCUUUGUGCUGUCGCUUAUGGAUGGACCCGCGGCGUAUUAGUUAGUUGGUGAGGUAACGGCUCACCAAGACGAUGAUACGUAGCCGACCUGAGAGGGUGAUCGGCCACAUUGGGACUGAGACACGGCCCAAACUCCUACGGGAGGCAGCAGCUAAGAAUCUUCCGCAAUGGGCGAAAGCCUGACGGAGCGAACCGCCGCGUGAACGAAGAAGGCCGUGAGGUUGUAAAGUUCUUUUCGGGAGGGGGAACAACCGUGGCAGGGAAUGGCCGCGGGAUGACGUGAAUCCCGGAAUAAGCCCCGGCUAACUACGUGCCAGCCGCCGC
rnacentral:rRNA from 1 species